UACAGAGGUCUCAAGCGUUGUUCGGAUUCAUUGGGCGUAAAGGGCGCGUAGGCGGCUAGGCAAGUCGGGUGUGAAAGCUUGGGGCUUAACCCCGAAAGGGCACUCGAAACUGCGUUGCUAGAGGGCCGGAGAGGAGAUCGGAAUUCACGGUGUAGCAGUGAAAUGCGUAGAUAUCGUGAGGAAGACCAGUGGCGAAGGCGGGUCUCUGGACAGUUCCUGACGCUGAGGCGCGAAGGCCAGGGGAGCAAACGGG
rnacentral:rRNA from 1 species